rnacentral:tRNA from 1 species
GCUUACGUAGUAAAAUUAUUAUUUAAGUCUUGUAAACUUAAGUUUCUAUAUGUUAUAGGCGUUUGUU